rnacentral:rRNA from 1 species
GAUGAACGCUAGCGGCAGGCUUAACACAUGCAAGUCGAGGGGCAGCGAGGGUAGCAAUACCUGUCGGCGACCGGCGCAAGGGUGCGUAACGCGUGAGCAACAUGCCCGUAUCAGGGGGAUAAUCCAGGGAAACUUGGUCUAAUACCCCAUAGUAAUUUUGUAAGGCAUCUUAUAGAAUUUAAAGCUUUGGUGGAUACGGAUUGGCUCGCGUGACAUUAGCUAGAUGGUAAGGUAACGGCUUACCAUGGCUACGAUGUCUAGGGGUUCUGAGAGGAAGAUCCCCCACACUGGAACUGAGACACGGUCCAGACUCCUACGGGAGGCAG